rnacentral:rRNA from 1 species
ACGGAGGGUGCAAGCGUUGUCCGGAUUCACUGGGUGUAAAGGGUGUGUAGGCGGGGCGGUAUGUCAGAGGUGAAAGCCCACGGCUCAACCGUGGAACUGCCUUUGAAACUGCCGUUCUUGAGUCUCGGAGAGGUCGCUGGAAUUCGUGGUGUAGCGGUGAAAUGCGUAGAUAUCACGAGGAACACCAGAGGCGUAGGCGGGCGACUGGACGAGAACUGACGCUGAGGCACGAAAGCGUGGGGAGCAAACAGG